UUUGCUGCUGGCUGCCGAUGGAGAAAUCCUCUUGGGCCCGGAGAGCUGUUUUGUGAGCAACCUAUGUGAGCCAACAUGAACCUCAGCAAACUUGUCCACAGCUCCUGUCUGCUGAGGGGAUGGAGGUGGAUUCCAACACCGCUUUGUCAUGACCUAACCAGCACGAAGAGGAGGCUUCUGUCAUUAGGUAAAUAUUGUUUCAUGCUUGGAUAUAAUAAGUACACUGUAAAAAUGCCCUUUAAUGCUCCACUUAUAUCUUCUAAGUCAUAUACAUUGCAUUUAUCUACAGGCAUCUUCCUUCUUGUCAGCACUUCACAGAAAACAUAGAUACAGAGGGACAGUUUGUUUUCUGUUUUGCCUCACAGGCUGUUAACUGAAGUGGCAAGUAUGCUAUAAUAGGCAGCAGAUGAAGGAACUGAAAUGGAGCCUGAUUUUCAGCACUGUGCUGUGUUCAGAACAAUCACUUAACACAAGGAUGCCCCAUAUAUUUAAAUGCUGAAGUAAGAAAGCAAGACCAGGAAGAAAGAAGCAAGAGUGAAAAUUAAUCAUUCCUUCACCACAGAAAGUCCUCCCAGUGUUGCAAUUAUUUUAUAGUUACGCUCUCUUCAAAAAUCUAUCUUGCAUUCCUUACUGGGAACGGUAUCACCAGUUGCAGGUUUGUCCUCCUGCAAGCUCCACCUUGCUUGGGACAGGCAGCUUCCAGGAACAUGUAACAUCAAACAAAACCAAAAAGGGCUUCUGGAAAAUAGUCCUGGGUAACUACCUUUUGCAUGAAAUGAACACAGCUUUGUUAGCAACUGAUCAGGCAGCAAAGGCACAUGCAUUUUGUGCUCGUGACACACAGCAUGCUGGUAUCCAGAGAAGUUUCAGGGAGCAAAAGAAAGUGCAAAAGGACAGGAAGGCGGCUAGAGGGAACAAGCAGAGAAAUCAGAAAUAGAAGAUAACAAAGGAUGUGUCAGAAAUCCCAGUCAAGGCUACUACUUGUUCAUACACUUCCAGCACCUAAAAAAACUAAGAAAUUCACUCUUGAGCCUUGAGUGAGCUCUGGACCACAUGCCUCAGCACUGGCUGGAGUAACUGAGUGAGUGCCCAGCAGAGGACAUGCUGCUCUCAGCACAAACCUUUGCUCACAAAUCGCUGUCUUCCCAUGGCCUGGCCAAUGCAGUGCUACAGAUUUUCUUCUGGAAAGCAAAACCAAAUAAGCCAGAUUUCAGAAAUGGGUUUGCUCAGGGGUCUUCCUUUAACCCCCUUGGUGGCUUCCAAGCAAGCUGCUCCUGUGUGUCAGAAGACAUCACGGCAGGUGGGGCCAAGGAAGCAUGACCUGUGUGUUUAUGCACCCGCAGGUCUCAUUAUCCAUCUUAGAAUCACUGAGAGCUGCAGGUUUUAACAGGCCAAGGAGGCUGGAGCUCAAGCCCUAUAUUUAUCUGCUGUGGGACAAGCUCUAGAGGAAGCAGUGCUUGGGUCAUAGCUACAGGCCAUGAUGUCCUUGCUGGAGCACCGCUGCAGGAAGCAGUGCUGGAGAGAAAGGCUUCUCCUCCUGCUGUAGCACCCAUGUCUUCUGUGCUCACUGAGGUGCCUGCUGGCACAAGCAGACUUGUUCUGCAGACCUCUGGCACUGCUGCUAACGGAGUUACUCCUGACUCCUUCCCUGUGAGGGAAUAAAAAAGCUUGCCAGGAGUUUAAAAAGGGCCUUCCGGCUACCAAAACAAAACACAGUUUCUACUGGGAUAGUCUGGUAAUCCACAAAUGCAGAGUAGCUGAUCAUCCUUCUCUCUCUUUUUUUUUUGUCACUUUGCUGCUAUGAUCUACACCAGGCUAAGACCUUUUGUAUCUUCACCAGUAGCUCAGCGUAACCCUAAGGUGUCAUGGACCAGGGAGUGAGGAGUCAUCAGGCCAGGAGGGGCUGCUGACAUUCCCCAGAGCUGCAUCAAGACCUACUUGCCUUGGUAGGGAGAGCAAGGAGAAGGUCAGUGUUGAAUUGGAGGAGAUAAGUAGGGAGGAAGGUGACAGAGUGGCUCCCAUUGGUACAUGGGGGGUCUCAGCAGAUGCCAAAGCUGAUGGCUGAGGUGACAACAAGAGAAAAAGGCAGAGAGAGGAGGGGAAGCAUACCACUGCCGCUGUGAAAAACAGUAGGAAAAUCAAAUGUGCCUCUUUGUGGUUUCUCCGCUCCCACCAGGAAAAACUGCUUUCUCAGGAGAACUUUCCUGGCUGCCCACUGGUGCCAGUGGACAGGGACUCUUACAGAGAAGGCUGGGAGGCUGCAAGCCCUGCCGAGUGCCUUGCUCCAUUCCCCAAAUAGAAGUGCUCAGCAGUCACUGCUCCAAACAAGGUGCUUGGCAAAGGCAGCUGCUGCUUGGCAGUCUGCCCGGUGCCCCGAAAUAACACUGCCGGCUGAGAGCAAACCUGCUGCAUCACCACUGCUUUCAGGAAGCUAAGCACCCCGUCGGGAUGGAUAAGCAAACAGAACGCAGCCCUCCCUUUCCCACAGAGCUCUAUCACGACCAGAGCAUGCAGAAAAAGCAGGAAAACUACAAGGAAAUAUCACAAAAAUCAUGAAGCAAGUCCCUUUCGUUGGCUCCUGUCAAUGUUAUGAUGCUUCAUCUUGUUCAUAUUAAGGAUGAAUCUCAAAGCAACAUACAGUCUCAUGGCACAGCUGAGUAGCAUCAUCUAAAACCACUGCUCACAGGACAAUAUGUAUAAAAUCAUUACUUCAGAAUGCUGUCAAGAGCUACCUAAACCCAGAACUUUCUACAAAGAUGGCAGAUACAAAGAUGAAAAAUGACCAGUGCCUGCACCUCCUAUGACAAAAUGAGCAAACAAAAAAUGAAUGACGUGCACUGUGGCACUGGAUAACGCACACCAAAAUUCAGAGCAUCGCUUGCAUUUGGGAAGCACCCUGAGAUUCCUGGGUGUGAGGUGAGAGUAGAGGAGCUAGGAGAUGGAAAAGCAUCAGAGAGUCACAGAGUCUCUGGGGAGCCUUGGAGCCACCGCUGGCUGCGAGCUGGGAUUACUACCCAGGGAAGCCCCAUAAAAGGCCUGCUCUCUUCUCUGUCUCCUGCACUUGGGCACUGUUAGAGCUGCUUCUGCAUCUGGAGAGCAUCAUGGAACAGCAUAUGGGUCCCUCGAGGACACCCGUCAGCCUGGCAUGUGGAACAGCUGAGAGACACCGGAAGAGAAAAACAGGAGAGAAAACCAGUACUACACCCUUUUCAAGCUUGUUCUCCCCAGCGCCUGCAGACUGGCUGUUUAAUAGAUUGUGACGUCUACACAUUAGCUUUCACAACUUAGCCUCUCCUCUGCAGAGUAUUUCCAUGCGUAAAUUCAGUCCAGUGUGACGGACUUCAUUCAAAGGAGAACUAAAUUACAAUGAAGAACAAUAAGCAAUCAUGUUAUAUUUUCUGGAAAGAAUGUUUGAUAAGAUGCUAUCAAAACAGAUGAAAUCAAAUGCAAAAAAAAAAACAA